AUUGAACGCUGGCGGCGUGCUUAACACAUGCAAGUCGAUCGGUAACGCGGGGGCAACCCUGGCGACGAGAGGCGGACGGGUGAGUAACGCUUGGGAAUCUGCCCAUCAGCGGGGGACAACCCGGGGAAACCCGGGCUAAUACCGCAUACGCUCCACGGAGGAAAGCAGGGGACCGCAAGGCCUUGCACUGAUGGAUGAGCCCAAGUCGGAUUAGCUAGUUGGCGGGGUAACGCCCACCAAGGCGACGAUCCGUAGCUGGUCUGAGAGGACGAUCAGCCACACCGGAACUGAGACACGGUCCGGACUCCUACGGGAGGCAGCAGGUGGGGAAUAUUGGACAAAGUGGGGAAACCCUGAUCCAAGCGACGCCGCGUGGGUGAAGAAGGCCUGCGGGUU
rnacentral:rRNA from 1 species